AUUGAACGCUGGCGGCGUGCCUAAUACAUGCAAGUCGAACGCAGUGGGGACGGGUGAGUAACACGUGGGUAACCUCCCAUCAGAGGGGAUAACACUUGGAAACAGGUGCUAAACCGAUACUGAUGGAUGAACCCGCGGUGCAUUAGCUAGUUGUGGAGGUACAGGCUCACCAAGGCCACGAUGCAUCGCGGUCCUGAGAGGAUGAUCGGCAACACUGGGACUGAGACACGGCCCAGACUCCUACGGGAGGCAGCAGUAGGGAAUCUUCGGCAAUGGACGAAAGUCUGACCGAGCAACGCCGCGUGAGUGAAGAAGGUUUUCGGAUCGUAAAACUCUGUUGUUAGAGAAGCGGUAUCAAACGAGAAAGCCACGGCUAACUACGUGCCAGCAGCCGCGGUAAUUC
rnacentral:rRNA from 1 species